rnacentral:rRNA from 1 species
GUGGGGAAUUUUGGACAAUGGGGGCAACCCUGAUCCAGCCAUUCCGCGUGAGUGAAGAAGGCCUUCGGGUUGUAAAGCUCUUUCGGCAGGAACGAAACGGUGAGCUCUAACAUAGCUCGCUAAUGACGGUACCUGAAGAAUAAGCACCGGCUAACUACGUGCCAGCAGCCGCGGUAAUACGUAGGGUGCAAGCGUUAAUCGGAAUUACUGGGCGUAAAGCGUGCGCAGGCGGUUAUAUAAGACAGAUGUGAAAUCCCCGGGCUCAACCUGGGAACUGCAUUUGUGACUGUAUAGCUAGAGUACGGCAGAGGGGGAUGGAAUUCCGCGUGUAGCAGUGAAAUGCGUAGAUAUGCGGAGGAACACCGAUGGCGAAGGCAAUCCCCUGGGCCUGUACUGACGCUCAUGCACGAAAGCGUGGGGAGCAAACAGGAUUAGAAACCCUUGUAGUCC